UCCUCCCAUUGUAUACGAUUUCCUUGUUUAUUCUUUGUAGCGAUUAUUGUUCGUCUGAAUAGGAAAGGGAAAGCUGGUGUCCCUUAACUUUCGAGUGUUGAUUUUACGGUUAUGAUAAUGAUAUCAUCUUAUCUUAGACCUUGAAAAUUAUCGAAGUGCUUUGAAAAUCUAUUCAUGUGACAAAAAUGAAAUCUCGAGGAAAAGGAAAUUACCGGAACAUUCUCGUGCCCUAUUAAAAAGCUUUAAAAAGCCGGAGAGAAACAUCUCAGUUCAGUUGUUUAGAUAACUGUUGUUGCUGAUUGCAGCGAAUUCGCGGUGAGAUCGGGUUACCUUUCUCUGCGCUUUGGAUUGCAUUCUAUUUAGCGUUUUAGUAGUUUGAAAUAUAACUACUGCAUGAUAUUGUACGAAUAUCUUUGAGAAAAAAUCCAACGUUUUGUUAUAUUUGUGCUAAGAAUAAAUUUUAUUAACUUUUUA